UACGGCCACAUCACUUUGAAACAUUGGUUCCUGUACAAUCACUGAAAUUAAGCAAUGUCAAUCCUGAUUAGUACCUAGAUGGGUGACUGCUUGGGAAUACCAGGUGCUGUAAG